rnacentral:rRNA from 1 species
CCAUGUGACCUGCGGAGGGACAUUACACAAUUAAAAUAUGAAGGCUUCGGCUGGAUUAUUUUUAUUACCCUUGUCUUUUGCGCACUUGUUGUUUCCUGGGCGGGUUCGCCCGCCACCAGGACCACACCAUAAACCUUUUUUAUGCAGUUGCAAUCAGCGUCAGUAUAACAAAUGUAAAUCAUUUACAACUUUCAACAACGGAUCUCUUGGUUCUGGCAUCGAUGAAGAACGCAGCGAAAUGCGAUACGUAGUGUGAAUUGCAGAAUUCAGUGAAUCAUCGAAUCUUUGAACGCACAUUGCGCCCUUUGGUAUUCCAAAGGGCAUGCCUGUUCGAGCGUCAUUUGUACCCUCAAGCUUUGCUUGGUGUUGGGCGUCUUUUUGUCUUUGGCCCCGCCCAAAGACUCGCCUUAAAAGGAUUGGCAGCCGGCCUACUGGUUUCGCAGCGCAGCACAUUUUUGCGCUUGCAAUCAUGCAAAAAAGGACGGCAAUCCAUCAAGACUACAUUUUUUUACCUUUGACCUCGGAUCAGGUAGGGAUACCCGCUGAACUU